CAAAAUUUAUUUUAAUAAAAAUAUUAACUUUGGAGGUUAAAGAUAACUUAGGUUUUAAUUUUGA
rnacentral:tRNA from 1 species